AGCAUGUAUGACGCUCCCGGCAGCACAUCAGGGAGGACCAACGGUUUUGGAGGCUGGUCGAGCAAACACUCCCCUAGAAGAGGAAGAUUAGGGCUUCAGAAAGUGCAGCUUGAUGCAGUGUAUACCACAUACCACACACAGACAUAUGCACACAAGCAUGAGCGCCCCCCAUCCCCAUCACAUCCCCCUAAAAACCUCUCAUGUUGAUCCCACCCUUGUUGCAAGACUUGCAGGGAUAAAGUUAUAUGAGAAUAAUCUCUAACUCUUAGAUUUGAGCUUAAAAUAUUGCUUUAAACUCUCCACCAAGAUGACAUCCAGCUAGCAAACAGUGCCACCGUCGAAGGCAUCAACUCCAUUUACAAUAAAUGACACAGAAACUUUUCCAGGAACAGGCUAAUGACAGGAAGAGUUUGACGAGCAGGUGCUUGGAAACAUGAAAGAUCAACGUCAUUGGAUGAGACGGGUUCCAAGAGGAGGUUUUUAUCACUCUAAGACAAACACAAUUUCUCACCCUUAUGGGGAAUUUACACAUCCAAAAGAAGGGGGGAAAAACUGGGUUCCCUUACUUUGAACUGUUUAUUAUGCCAUUUGUGUUGUGGUGAAUUCACAAGAGAUAAUGAGGGAGUGAACGAAUGAGCUGUAACUGGUGGCAAAUUUGUUUCCUCCCAUUUCACCGCAAAUUUGGCAGAAGAAACACACUGAUUAAAUAAUAUGCUGCAUAAGCAAGUCAUUCUAGACUGAAUAAGCUGAACCUCACCUCUUCCUUCCUACUCUCUCUCUCCAAAGAGUGAUCAUUCAAAACAAUAGCUGGCAUUGUGAGGAGAAAUGAACAGGUUAUGAAUAAUUUUGGGUGCAGCACGGCAUGAAAACUGCCUCAAACAUGUGGCAACAUGUUUUUUUUUUCCUCUCCGCUGCUUUUUGAAGUCUAGAUUUAUGGCAGACAGCAAGGAGAAACCAAGUUACAACACUGUUACAUAGAAAUCACACCCUGUGAAGUCAAAAUGUUCUACUGUAUCUUGCUCCCAACCAGUUUAUGUUGUUUUGUUCUCAGACCAUCACUAAAUAGAAGAAGCAAAAAAGUUGGUCUAUUUGAAGUAAACCUGCAA